rnacentral:ncRNA from 1 species
UCAAAUUCAUUUGAUAGGAACAAGUAGUCUUCAGCGGAUUUUUCAGAGAGGUAACGGGUGGUGCGAGUUGCCAAUGAACCUGACAGAUGAAAUCAUCCUUGAGAAGCAAACUGAAACAAAGUAGGAGCGCCGGAGUAAAGCCACGUUACAGGUGAGACGCAUUAGAUGAUGCGGAUAUGAGCUGAGAUUUUCUCAGGAAUUAAGGUGGUACCACGGUCUUCAAUCGUCCUUUCU